GACGAACGCUGGCGGCGUGCUUAACACAUGCAAGUCGAACGGAAAGGCCCUGCUAUUGUGGGGUUCCCGAGUGGGAAACGGGGGAGUAACACGUAAGUAACCGUCCCUUGACUUCAGGCUACCUUCAAGAAACUGGUGCUACUACGGGAUAGGUGCUCCUGCUGCAUGAUGGUGGUUGGAACAUUUCGGCGGUGGGGGAUGUACUCGCGGCUUAUCUGCUUGUUGGUGGGGUAGUGGCUUACCAAGGCUUUGACGGGUAGCCUGCCUGAGAGGUUGACCGGCCACAUUGGGACUGAGAUACGGCCCAGACUCCAACGGGAGGCAGCAGGGGGGAAUAUGGCACAAUGGGCGGAAGCCUGAUGCAGCAACGCCGCGUGCGGGAUGACGGCCUGCGGGUUGUAAACCGCUUUCGCCUGUGACGAAGCGUGAGUGACGGUAAUGGGUAAAGAAGCACCGGCUAACUACGUG
rnacentral:rRNA from 1 species